UGGGAUGAAGCUGAGCUGCCCUGCCCCAGGGAAUUCCCAUUCCCUGUCCAAGAGCAUGGAUAGAGUUGGAAUAGCAGGAUAGCUGUCCCAUCCCUGUCCCAGCUUUGUCCCCAAAUCCCAGAAAUCAGAUGGAGAGCACCCAGCCAAGAUCUUCCCCACAUCCUCAUCCAUUUCCCAGCUUUGCCCCAAAUCCCAGAAAAUGGAUGGAGAGGGACCCAGCCAAGCAUUUCCCCACAUCCUCAUCCCUUUCCCAGCUUUGUCCCCAAAUCCCAGAAAUGAGAUGGAGAAAUCUCCUCUUUCCAGAUGGAGAGCACCCAGCCAAGCAUUUCCCCACAUCCUCAUCCUUUUCCUGGCUUUGUCCACAAAUUGCCCCAAAUCCCAGAAAAUGGAUGGAGAAGGACCCAGCCAAGCAUUUCCCCACAUCCUCAUCCCUUUCCCAGCUUUGUCCACAAAUUGCCCCAAAUCCCAGCAAAUGGAUGGAGAAGGACCCAGCCAAGAUCUUCCCCACAUCCUCAUCCAUUUCCUGGCUUUGUCCCCAAAUCCCAGCAAAUGGAUGGAGAGGGACCCAGCCAAGCAUUUCCCCACAUCCUCAUCCUUUUCCUGGCUUUGCCCCAAAUCCCAGAAAAUGGAUGGAGAAGGACCCAGCCAAGCAUUUCCCCACAUCCUCAUCCUUUUCCUGGCUUUUUCCCCAGAUCCCAGGAAUUAGGGUGAGAGGGAUCCAGCCAAGCAUUUCCCACAUCCUCAUCCCUCUCCUGCUCUCUUGCAGCCACGGAGCCGGAGCCAAAGGAAUUGGGACCAUCCUGGCUCCCCCAGAGCUCAGGGAUCCUUUGGAAUCACUCCCAGCCCUGAUCCCGGCUCUGGAUCCCNACCCGAGUUCUGCUUCCAAAAGAAUCAGGAAUUAUGGAGAGGAAAAUCCAUGGGAUUCCUAAUGGAUGAUGGCAAAACAAAAGUUUAGGGGCUCGUAUCCUUCAGUGCUCCCAGAGCUGGGGGAGAGAUUUAUUGUUGAGGACGGAACACCAGGAGGAACGCAGAAUUUAUAAACCACAAAGAGACUCGGCAUAAACCAGAGGUGCCCAAUUUGAUAUAACAUAAUUAAAAAUAUGGAUAUGAAGUUGCCCAAUUUGAUAUAACAUAAUUAAAAAUAUGGAUAUGGAAGUAUGGUUUAGGAUAAUCAAAGGGAAAAAAUAUUAAUCAGUAGAAGAUAGAAUGGUAAUUAAUGACUUGAAUUUAUAAACCGCAAAGAGACUUUGCAUAAACCAGAGGUGCCCAGUGUGGGAAAACAUAAUUUAAAAUAUGGAUAUGAAAGUAUGGAUUAUUUAGGAUAAUUAAAAAGGGGCAAAUUACUUCAGUGCUCCCAGAGCUGGGGGAGGGAUUUAUUGUUGAGGACGGAACACCAGGAGGAACGCGGAAUUUAUAAACCACAAAGAGACUCAGCAUAAACCAGAGGUGCCCAAUGUGGGAAAACAUAAUUAAAAAUAUGGAUAUGAAGUUGCCCAAUUUGAUAUAACAUAAUUAAAAAUAUGGAUAUGAAAGUAUGGAUUAUUUAGGAUAAUUAAAAAGGGACAAAUUAUUAAUCAGUAGAAGACAGAAUGGUAAUUAAUGACUUGAAUUUAUAAACCGCAAAGAGACUCUGCAUAAACCAGAAGUGCCCAGUUUGGGAAAACAUAAUUAAAAGGCUGAAAAUAGGGAUUAAUUAGGAUAUUUUAAAAGGGACAAAUUAUUAAUCAGUAGAAGAUAGAAUGGCAAUUAAUGACUUGAAUUUAUAAACCACAAAGAGACUCUGCAAAAGCCAGAGGUGCCCAAUUUGAUAUAACAUAAUUAAAAAUAUGGAUAUGAAAGUAUGGAUUAUUUAGGAUAAUUAAAAAGGGACAAAUUAUUAAUCAGUAGAAGAGAGAAUGGUAAUUAAUGACUUGAAAUUAUAAACCACAA
rnacentral:lncRNA from 1 species